UACGUAGGGGGCAAGCGUUGUCCGGAAUUAUUGGGCGUAAAGAGCGUGUAGGCGGUCCGGUAAGUCAGCUGUGAAAGUCAAGGGCUCAACCCUUGAAAGCCGGUUGAUACUGUCGGGCUAGAGUCCGGAAGAGGCGAGUGGAAUUCCCGGUGUAGCGGUGAAAUGCGCAGAUAGUCGGGAGGAACACCAAUGGCGAAGGCAGCUCGCUGGGACGGUACUGACGCUGAGACGGCGAAAGCGUGGGGAGCAACAGGAUA
rnacentral:rRNA from 1 species